UUUAUUUUUAGCAGUCAAAGCAACAAUUAUUUUUCUUCUCCAUCCCCCAAAACCAUCACCUGAGAAGGGUGUGGGGACAAGAGAUACCCCGGGAACAGAGGAGUAUAGAAAUAAAGGACUUGAAGAGUCCAAAAGACCAGUAUUGGUGGUACCAGUAUUGGUGUUAGCAGUAUUGGUGUUAGCAGCCAUGAUAUAUCGACAAGGAAGAACAAAUUCAGCAACCAAAAAAUGUAACAAAUCAAAUAGUCACACACAAAGCCAAAUAUUCAAACACAAAGCCAAAACCGAUAUACACAAACCAGGUGCACAAUUUUAAAACAAAGUUACCCUCCUUCUUCGCUACCGGAAGAAGAUCGGCCUUCAAAUAGCAGUGAAAACCCUAGGUAUGAAACCCUAGGUUCAAACGUCGAUUCAGUCACCGGAAAUACAAGAAACGAUGUCGAAAAGUUACCCAAACAUCCACAAGAUGAGAAUCGGACCACCGGAAGACGGUAAACCAGCAAGUCAAAACCACCGAAAACCCUAGAUACCUCCAAAUAUUCAAACACAAAGCCAAAACCGAUAUACACAAACAAGGUGCAUAAUUUUAAAACAAGGUUACCCUACUUCUUCGCUACCGGAAGAAGAUCGGCCUUCAAAUAGCGGUGAAAACCCUAGGUAUGAAACCCUAGGUUCAGACGUCGAUUCAGUCACCGGAAAUACGAGAAACGAUGUCGGAAAGUUACCCAAACAUCCACAGGAUGAGAAUCGGACCACCGGUAGACGGUAAACCAGCAAGUCAAAACCACCGAAAACCCUAGAUACCGAUAACUCACCAGAAAUCACCCAAAACCGAUCAAAACGUUGUUAAAACGUUNNNN
rnacentral:lncRNA from 1 species